UACGUAGGGUGCAAGCGUUAAUCGGAAUUACUGGGCGUAAAGCGUGCGCAGGCGGUUUUGUAAGUCUGUCGUGAAAUCCCCGGGCUCAACCUGGGAAUUGCGAUGGAGACUGCAAGGCUAGAAUCUGGCAGAGGGGGGUAGAAUUCCACGUGUAGCAGUAGAAUGCGUAGAGAUGUGGAGGAACACCGAUGGCGAAGGCAGCCCCCUGGGUCAAGAUUGACGCUCAUGCACGAAAGGCGUGGGGAGCAAACAGG
rnacentral:rRNA from 1 species